rfam:Leucobacter sp. TCD-THT genomic scaffold scaffold4.1, whole genome shotgun sequence.
CGACGGCUUCGAUUUCACAACGGAUCGUCCGGCACGUACCUGCCGGUGAAACGAGAGGACA